AUCCAGAUGACGAGUCCCUUCUGGGACGAAACGCACAUCCUGGAU
rfam:Schistosoma curassoni strain Dakar, Senegal genome assembly, scaffold: SCTD_contig0002189